UAGAAUUCUAUACUUUUGUAAAUGAUCGGAACGAUGAUUUCAUGCAUAACCUAUUAUAUUUCUAACAUUUUUCCAUGCGUCUCCGCCUGUUUCCGCCUGGUCAAAUUAAAAAUCGCUUUACAAUAAUGUAGAUAUGUGAAUGGGACUUUAUCCGAAUCUUUUCAUCAACUGCGAUAGUUCCUAUUUUGGAUGAACUGAGGAAAUUGCAGAGGGCGUAAGAGACACUGGUUUUUUGGCAGAGAGCAAAUCCUCCCUGUUCUUAGUCCAUGCUGUACACUCGUCUGUUGUCAAUGAUAGUGACAAAAUGAUGAAUGCUGUGAGGACGAAGAAUAGUAUAGAAGAAUGAAGUAUACCAAUCAACCAGUAGUAGUGCUAUAUACUAAAGUCAAUAUGGCCGCGAUCAAAUUGCUUCACGCGGCUUCACGGAAUCUCGUAUUUAUAGAAUAUAUGCCAGUGGCUCAUGCUGAUAUCCGAAUCCAGUUUCGGGAUUCCGAACGAUACGAGUAUGUCGAUAGCCUAUCUGAACUUCUUUCGGCCCGUUUCGAAUAAGCCUUAUAAAGAAUGAAAUAUGGAGUGUGCAUCGGAGUAGGAGUGAAUGCAUGCUUAAAUUAACAUUCAAAUUUUCAAGUUCAAUCAUUAAAAAUUUAGACAUAUUUAAAUAUGAUUACAUAAUAUAUUAGUUAAUAAAAAGAAAUUUUAUUGAGUCAAUAAAAAAA